UGACUGCUUGACGUCACGUUAUGGAAGUGGGAACACCUGUAGCCUGUAGCGUCACAUGGUGCUACUGGCGCUGCUAACUGGAGGUUAAACCACAGAAACACUGAAACUAAAGACUCCGUUUAGUCGCUAGAGAGCAUGGAUACAUCACAUAAAUCAGAAAGGACGACUUCUAUGCUUUUUGCACGUUGUGUUGUUGCGAUGUGGACUUCAACAGUAAAGAAUAAUAAAGGAUAUAAGACACCAUCAGACGAGUACCAACAGUAAUCAGCAGGUGCGUCGUCUGAUGCAUCAAAUAAAGAUGAGUGCAGCGGACCAAAACUGAGGACGACCUACUACUCAAUUCAUUCACGUCUUUGGCUUCUUCCUGUACUGUAUGAAUGUAAUCGAAGGUGUUAUAAGAGGUUGUAUCGGGACAGGCGCAUUUUCAAUAAAAACCUUAAUUAAAA